UACGUAGGGGCCUAGCGUUGUCCGGAAUUAUUGGGCGUAAAGAGCUCGUAGGCGGUCUGUCGCGUCUGCUGUGAAAACUCAGGGCUUAACCCUGAGCUUGCAGUGGGUACGGGCAGACUAGAGUGCGGUAGGGGAGACUGGAAUUCCUGGUGUAGCGGUGAAAUGCGCAGAUAUCAGGAGGAACACCGGUGGCGAAGGCGGGUCUCUGGGCCGAUACUGACGCUGGAGGAGCGAAAGCCAUGGGUAGCGAACAGG
rnacentral:rRNA from 1 species